CAGUCGUACCUUCGGGUAAUCAGCCUUUCGGGUGCGAUUCUGUGGGAUGUGAAGAGUUUAACGCCUUCACGUUUAGCAUAUUCGUGCUCUUGGGUGUACUUGCCCGUGUGGUUGGUUAACAUCAAUUUUGGACGCCAUAAAAUGGCUGGGGGAAUGUAGCUUCGAUCUCGUAUUGAAGUGUUAUAGCCUUCGGUAGAUGUGGUUUUCGAGAUUGAGGAUUGCAACGGAUACCCUUCGGUUGUGCUUUGAUGCUGGCAAAAUGGCUUUAAACGACCCGUCUUGAAACACGGACCAAGGAGUCUAACAUAUGUGCGAGUGUUU
rnacentral:rRNA from 1 species